AUUAUUUUUGAAUCUUAACUUAACUUAUCUUAAAUUAGAUAUAAUAAAAAAUAUAUUGCAUAUAGUUCCUUUUAAAAUUGAGAAAUGAAAUCAUCAUGAAUCAUGAACUACAUCUAAUAUAGACCACAAUCAUAUAAAUGGAUUUGCUGAAAGCAUAGAAGGAACCGUCUGAAAACUGAGUCAUGAAAAAUCAACAUAGAAAAUAAGAAAGUUCUCGUCCUGCGCAUGCGUGACUUGCUAUGAAUGUCUCAAACAAAGGCAGACACUCCACUUAUCUUUGUCUCGCAAACACGAUAACUUUAUUGUUUUCCAUGUUAAUUUUUCACGACGCAAUUUUUGGACGGUUGUCCUUAGCGAGUAUUGAGACAUAUUUAUACUAUAACCUUAUACUAUAGCUUUCGAUGGACAAAUAGUGUUCACCGUUAGCUGAGAAGACAAUUAUGUGGAAAAUUUCAAGAAAUCAGCUUAGCUUUGUCAUCAAUAUAACAGAAAAAAAAUUAUUUUUAUUAUUAUACAGAAUUAUCUUGCUUGAUUAGAUUAAUCUUGAUGUCAUCGGUUUACUGUUGAAGGCGUACCAUAGUACGAGGAAGGAGUAUUUACAUAAAUUUGCAUUAAAACACUUAAAAACCGAAGAAUACCGUAGAGUCAUUGAUACCAACUUGAUAGCACCAGCAAUUCUAGCACGAGAAGCCAUAAAAUCUAUGAAAAAGCGCAACGCGUGCGGCCAUGUAAUUAAUAUCUCCGGGUAACUUUAUGUAUUACAUAGUGAUAUAUUUCCUCCGUAUUUUAUAGAUGGUAGUGUUAGUUAAAUAUAUCUGUGGAAAAUGCCGAUGAA